GACACUGGGAGCAGAACCACCAUCAUGGAUAAAAACUAUAUGAAUAAAAACUAUGGGUGUAGUCUGUGUACGACCCAUUUGAACCAAGAUGUUGCUUUUUCCCAGUUAUCAAUUUCAGUUAUUUUGAGUGCUUUAAUUCCAGUACUUGGGUCUGCUUAUAUCACUGUCUCGUACUUCUCGUUCUGUGCUCUGUUAUUUGUUUCAAUGUUUAUUCAUUUCAAUAUGUUGGCCUAACUAGCAGGUAAGAGUGGAUUGAGACAGAGCUUGGGCAAUUAGCUCGAAACUAGUGAAACAGCCCGCACUUUGGAUCGGGUUUUUUUUGUUAGUAAUCGGAUAGCUGGAGGAGGGCAAAAGUGUCCCCGUCACUCCUUUGUGCCGUAGUAGUUUUUUUUUUUUUCAGGCAUUCUUACGAUAAUUCGAUCUCUGUUUAAUAUACGUGCUCUUAUAUCUACUGCCAUCAAAACCUAAACAUCAAAGUUUUCUAGGAUGGUUCGAUUGGCCUGAUUCAUUUAUUGGGUUGCACAGUAAAUCUUCCAGUUACAGUAAAUAAUCCCAAACUCCGUGGCUAAGCUCUUUGCUCAACUGUCAGGCUCAUACGUCGAGAAGUCAUAAAAACACUGACCUGAAAUCAAUACACAAAAUCAUAUUAGUUAACAAGCAACUAUAUAUGCACUGAUUCACAUUCACACGUGAAUGUGGCACAUAGGAGAGUCCCUGCAAUGCAGGAUUAAACAAACUACUACAGUAAGCAUCUCUAAGGUUUAUAUCAAUGCCUUCCCCAAAAUCUGGACAUAAAUCAUAUGAGGAAGUCAAAAAAAAAAAAAAAAAAAAGAUUUGCAUUCGAUCACAGACUACAUGUGAAUGUGCUAAAUAAGACUGCCUAUAUAGAGAAAGGGGGAGAGCAAUUGGAGCAAGAUCACAUUUGAUGUUAUGAGAUGGUUCCGUAUUUCCGUUGGCGAUUUGAGAGAUUGAGAAGUAAUCGGUCGUCUAAAGAGAAAGGAGGAUUUGAUUGAGCUAUCAAGGAUCUUUCACAGAUUGAUCGAGCUGUAGGCUAAGUUUUUGGGAUUGAAGGCAGAAUUGGAUGAGGAACAUGGGUUGAAUCUGGAGCUGCAGUCACAAAAUAGAAAGCUUGGUGAGAAUCUUGCUGUUGCUGAAGCAAAGAUAGAACUUUAACUACUCCUUAACAAGAGCACUACUUUUGGCCUUCAGACAGCAUUGCUCUGGAGAAAUUUGAGAGAAAGUGGCAUGAAGUAACAAACCAAGUGGGGGAACAGAUCACCUCGAGUACUAUUUUGGUAAUGUUCAGGAGCUGUUGCAAUUGCUGUUGGAGGCCUCACAAAACAAGAGGUUUGUUUGCAAAGAAGAAAACAAGGCUCCAAGAGCAAUGAUGAAAUCUCUGACUCCUCUGCCUCUGCUUCAUAGGCUUCUGUCACCCAUGCCCACCACAAAUUCAGAGCCAAAGCUGCAAUAUCCAUCUACAUUUUUUUAUUUUCGGAUUUUGUUAUGCUGUUGUGGACUCUGGUUGAUGACUCAAUUUGUAUAUGGUUUUUAGUUUUCAGGAAGAGGAUAAGGAGCAGAAGAGGAAUCAGUCAUGGAACAAGAAAUCAAGGUCAUGCUUUCAAGGAAAUUGCCUCCAGAACCAAGAUCCGAAACAGAUACAAUAUGUGUGGGUAACAUUGACUUUGCAUCUCUUACCUUGGACUAUAAAUAUUGCUCGAGUAUGCUCGAGAACUGAUCUCAAAGUCCCGACUCCCGACCAGAAAUGAAUGAUGGACAUGAGAAGUAGAUGAUUGCUAUCAUGGUCUCGAUCACAGUAGUGAAUUUUCUGCCCACGGUCUUACUGUAAAAGAUUUUAAAAUGAAAUUGUACGGGCAGGGUGAAUUUCAUUGAAUCUUGAAGAUAACAAUAUUGACAACGUAGGGUGAAUUAGUGGCUGUGCUAAAAUGUUAUGGUUUGAAAAAUUGUGGAAAAACUGAAUGAAUGUGAAAAAGGCCACAGACUCUUUCGAUAAAUGAUCGAGUCAAUGAGCAUCCCUUAAAGGCUAAAUUUAAGUAUC